rnacentral:rRNA from 2 species
UAAUACAUGCAAGUCGAACGAAACUUUCUUACACCGAAUGCUUGCAUUCACCGUAAGAAGUUGAGUGGCGGACGGGUGAGUAACACGUGGGUAACCUGCCUAAAAGAAGGGGAUAACACUUGGAAACAGGUGCUAAUACCGUAUAUCUCUAAGGAUCGCAUGAUCCUUAGAUGAAAGAUGGUUCUGCUAUCGCUUUUAGAUGGACCCGCGGCGUAUUAACUAGUUGGUGGGGUAACGGCCUACCAAGGUGAUGAUACGUAGCCGAACUGAGAGGUUGAUCGGCCACAUUGGGACUGAGACACGGCCCAAACUCCUACGGGAGGCAGCAGUAGGGAAUCUUCCACAAUGGACGCAAGUCUGAUGGAGCAACGCCGCGUGAGUGAAGAAGGUCUUCGGAUCGUAAAACUCUGUUGUUAGAGAAGAACACGAGUGAGAGUAACUGUUCAUUCGAUGACGGUAUCUAACCAGCAAGUCACGGCUAACUACGUGCCAGCAGCCGCGGUAAUACGUAGGUGGCAAGCGUUGUCCGGAUUUAUUGGGCGUAAAGGGAACGCAGGCGGUCUUUUAAGUCUGAUGUGAAAGCCUUCGGCUUAACCGGAGUAGUGCAUUGGAAACUGGAAGACUUGAGUGCAGAAGAGGAGAGUGGAACUCCAUGUGUAGCGGUGAAAUGCGUAGAUAUAUGGAAGAACACCAGUGGCGAAAGCGGCUCUCUGGUCUGUAACUGACGCUGAGGUUCGAAAGCGUGGGUAGCAAACAGGAUUAGAUACCCUGGUAGUCCACGCCGUAAACGAUGAAUGCUAGGUGUUGGAGGGUUUCCGCCCUUCAGUGCCGCAGCUAACGCAAUAAGCAUA